rnacentral:misc_RNA from 1 species
CGAGCAUAUAUUCAGCUGCACAGUAACUCGCAGUAUCAAAUUUGCUGUAGCCUUGCAUUCACUACAAGUUCUUGGACAUUUCACUAGUCUCAGAAAAAAGCAAUAAAGUCCCCCAGAAGAAGAAUUGAACCUUUCAUCAAGUUCUUGCAAUGGAGUCUUUGAGAAUGUCCCUGAAAGCUUAUCAGUCUCAGGUAAAGCAACAAAAUCACCCAGAAGGAGAAAAUCAAGCUCUCUUGAACGACCACAACCAUCAUCACAUGGCGCAGUCCUCUAACUCUGAUGCUCAGAAAGAAGAAAUAGUUGUCAAGAUUGACGCCGAUAAUGCUUCUGGCAAAGAAACUGCUGCUUCUAAAUCUAGCAGUGAAAGUUCAAGCAGUAAUUUUGCAGGUUCAUCAAAGAAACUUAAAGUAUCAUUUGGAGAUGUACUAACUGAAGCUGUUCGGCAAAGAAACAAGGACUUGCUAGACCAGGAAGGUCGUUGUCUGUCUUUAAGUGCUUCUUUUGGGAGCAAGUCAUGGAGGUCAGCCGUGAACAAGACAAAAUCUAGAUUGAUAGACCCACCGGAGGAAAGAUAUCAAACAACUGAGACAGCAGGCUAUGGUGGAGAUUCUGAGGAAGAUCGGGACAACCAUCAUGAAGAAAAUGACUCCGAAGACAUCCCAGAAGAAUACAAGAAAAUGAACUUCAGUGCAUUGACAAUUUUGCAACGGCUGAUUCUUGUUUUAGUCACAGCAACCUUGGUUUGUAGCCUUUCUAUUCCAGUAAUAAGGAGGCAAACAUUGUGGGAUCUUCCACUAUGGAAAUGGGAGAUAAUGGUUUUGGCAUUAAUCUGUGGCCAUUUAGUCUCCGGUUGGGGAAUCAAGGUGGCCGUGAUCAUCUUUGAACGUAAUUUCGUUUUGCGAAAACGGGUAUUGUAUUUUGUUUAUGGAUUGAGGAAGUCUGUUCAGAAUUGCCUCUGGUUAGGUAUAGUCUUGCUUGUUUGGCACUGGAUUUUCGAUAAAAAGGUUGAGGAGACUAGGAAUAAGAUCUUGCAGUAUGUGACCAAGAUCUUGAUAUGUUUAUUGGUAGGAACAUUUAUAUGGCUCUUGAAAACUCUGAUUGUCAAGGUUCUUGCUUCAUCCUUCCAUGUUAACACGUUCUUUGAAAGAAUCCAGGAGGCUCUAUUCAAUCAAUAUGUAAUAGAGACACUCUGUGGUCCACCAUUGUUUGAAAGUCAGAGCAUAGAAGAAGAUGAUGAUGAUGAUAAAGGGGCUAGUCCUAGUGACCUCAAUGCACCUCUUCUUGCCAAAAGUGGGGGUGGAAAACUAAAAAAGUGCCCUACUGUUGGGAAGAGGCCCAGAUACUCAAGGCAAACUUCUAGGAAGAAGGAUGAGGAAAUUCCAAUUGACCGCCUGCACAAGCUAAAUCAUAAGAAUAUAUCAGCUUGGAAUAUGAGGAGGAUGAUCAAUAUUGUUCGCCACGGUACCCUGUCUACUUUGGAUGAGCAGAUACUUAAUUCAAACAUUGAAGACGAGUCUUUAUUUCAUAUCAGAAGUGAAAACCAAGCGAAAGAGGCUGCCAAAAAGAUAUUCCUCAAGGUGGCAAAGACAGGAUCCCAAUACAUUUUCCUUGAUGAUUUGAUGCGAUUUAUGGCUAAAGAAGAAGCAUUGAGGGCAAUGCAUCUCUUUGGAGCAUCAAGUGAAAGUGAAGGAAUAAGCAAGUUAUCUCUUAACAGUUGGCUGGUUAAUGCAUUUAGAGAGCGACGGGCACUCGCAUUAUCUCUCAACGAUACAAAAACUUCUGUGGAUGACCUUCACAAUAUGUUGAACAUCCUUGUAGCUAUCAUCGUUACAAUAAUCUGGCUCUUGAUACUUGGAGUUAAUAUCACUCACUUCCUUGUCUUCAUAAGCUCCCAGCUUCUGCUUGUGGCUUUCAUCUUCGGGGAUAGCUGCAAGACAACAUUUGAAGCAAUCAUAUUCUUAUUUGUAAUGCACCCAUUCGAUGUGGGUGAUCGUUGUGAAGUGGAUGGAGUUCAGAUGGUGGUUGAAGAGAUGAAUAUAUUAACUACAGUUUUCCUGAGGUAUGAUAAGCAAAAGAUCACCUACCCCAAUUUUGUUCUAGCUACCAAACCAAUCGGCAACUUCUAUCGCAGUCCAGAUAUGGAUGAGAUAAUCGAUUUCUGCAUUCACAUCUCCACUCCAAUGGAGAAGAUUGCUAUAAUGAAAGAAAGAAUUAAAGAGUAUAUUGAAGGCGACAAAGACCACUGGCAUCCCAGUCCCAAGAUAAUCUUGAAGGAUGUAGAGGACAUGAACAAAAUCAACAUGUCAUUGUGGGUUACACAUAAAUUGAACUUUCAGCAGAUGGGGGAGAGAUUGAAUGGAAGAACACUUCUGAUAGAACAAAUGAUCAAGGUGUUCAAAGACCUUAACAUUGAGAAUCGCCUGCUCCCUCUGGAUGUGAAUGUACGAAAUUUCCAGCCUUUGGUUUCAGAUAGGCUUCCCUCAAAUUGGACCAACUAACUAUGCAGGGUUAAAGCGAAGAAGAUCAAGGCAAGGGGACAAUGUGAGAGGUUCAAAUUUGACUAAAAUGGAUUUGAUAUAUGUAAUUUGGCAAAGAAUUAGUACUUUGGUUAAACAACUCGAAUGCCUUUCUUAGUAAUUUGGUAAAGAAUUAUUACUGUGAUUAAAUAAGUUAGAUGCCUUAAACGAUAUUUGUAUUAACUCAAUCAGGGAAGAAGGUAGUCCAGAUGAAGAAACGUGGUUGAAAACUUGGAAAUUGGUCUUGCAUAUUUAAGAUGGACCUUUCUCUUAAUCAUUUUGAAAUUGGUCUUUCUCUUUAUGGGUCGUAGAAUUUUAGAUGAGCUUGAAUAUUUCUUCUUUGAGCUGAGCAUUUCCAAUCUUCAUCGUUGGCUGCUCCGCCUUGUCCACUUGACUGUGUUUUAAGUUUGUUCAAUAAAACUCAUAGCGUCUCUGGCCUCAAGAGACCUUCUGAUCGGUGAUGAACUUCUAACAAAUCCAGGAAAAUAAAUUCCCUUUUUUUUUUUGUCUGAAAA